rnacentral:rRNA from 1 species
GUAGGGAGUUUUCGACAAUGGGGGCAACCCUGAUCGAGCAACGCCGCGUGAGUGAUGAAGGUCUUCGGAUUGUAAAACUCUUUUAUUUGGGAUAAAUGGCUAGGGUAGGUAAUGACCUUAGUUUGAUAGUACCUUUUGAAUAAGCAACGACUAACUACGUGCCAGCAGUCGCGGUAAUACGUAGGUUGCAAGCGUUAUCCGGAAUUAUUGGGCGUAAAGAGUGAGCAGGCGGUCUAUUAAGUUUGAGGUCAAAUCGAUGGGCUUAACCCAUUCUCGCUUCAAAAACUGGUAGACUAGAGUAUGUGAGAGGUAAGUAGAACUCCAUGUGUAGCGGUGAAAUGCGUAGAUAUAUGGAAGAAUACCAGUGGCGAAGGCGGCUUACCAGCACAAUACUGACGCUCAGUCACGAAAGCACAGGGAGCAAAUAGGAUUAGAAACCCUAGUAGUCC